rnacentral:rRNA from 1 species
GAUGAACGCUGGCGGCGUGCCUAAUACAUGCAAGUCGAGCGAACAGACGAGGAGCUUGCUCCUCUGACGUUAGCGGCGGACGGGUGAGUAACACGUGGAUAACCUACCUAUAAGACUGGGAUAACUUCGGGAAACCGGAGCUAAUACCGGAUAAUAUAUUGAACCGCAUGGUUCAAUAGUGAAAGACGGUUUUGCUGUCACUUAUAGAUGGAUCCGCGCCGCAUUAGCUAGUUGGUAAGGUAACGGCUUCCAAGGCAACGAUGCGUAGCCGACCUGAGAGGGUGAUCGGCCACACUAGAAGUGGGACGCGGACCAUAGUCCUACGGGAGGCAGCAGUAGGGAAUGUUCCGCAAUAGGCGAGAGCAUGACGCAGCAACGCCGCGUGAGUUAUGAAGGUCUUGGGUGCGUAAAACUCUGUUAUGAGGUAAGAACAAAUUUCUAAGUAACUAUGCACGUCUUGACGGUACCUAGUCAGAAAGCCACGGCUAACUACGUG